GGGUAUGUGGCUUAAUGGUAGAGAGCUUGCCUAGCAGGCACAAGGAUCUGGGUUCAAUCCCAGCAAACGCG
rfam:Ictidomys tridecemlineatus contig104747, whole genome shotgun sequence.